rnacentral:tRNA from 1 species
GCGGGCGUAGCCAAAUCAGGCAUCGGCGGGAGGCUUAAACCCUCCUCGGGUCACGACCCGGUGCAGGUUCGAAUCCUGUCGCCCGCACCA